rnacentral:lncRNA from 1 species
AUGAGCUUAAAGCUUCAAAAUAUUGAUUAAGGAUCUUCUCAUGAUAGCUAAUCUGAAAUUUACAUUUUUAACCAUGCAUGGUCAUUAUUACUUAUUUAUUAUGGGGUUUUAAAUAAUUAUGGUGAGUUUAUUUUAAAAUUAUUAUUAACAUAGGAAAUUGGUUUUAAAGAUAUCAUUUUAGAUAAACUAAUUAACACUUGUUAGUUGUUAUUUUCAACAAUCUAUAUAAUUUUUGCAUGUUUUUUAAUCAUAUAAUAUUAAUGUAAAAUGAUCGCCCAAUUGAUGGCCUCUUAUAGUGCAGUAAUAAAGCAGCUAGCUGUGUUGAAACAGAAUGCAUGUAAAAACAAAACGGCAAGCCGUUAAAAGAAAACGGCUUGUUGUUUUCGAAUAGAAGGCAGAUGAAAAGGAACGGCUAGCCUCUUCAUCAUAAAUGGCUAGCGGUUAUCAAACAGAAACCAAAAUUUACGAAAACGACUAGCUAUUUGUGGUAAACGAUUGGACGUUUUCUCGACAAAAGGAUACAUUUAACGUUUAUUCUUCGUCCUUCAUUAUGCAAAUAAUGAGCCAAUAAAUAAAAAACACCUACCACUAAUCUUGAUACCUAAAUCGAUAAACUUGAAACUUAGGGCAAUGAACACCAAACUUGGGAUCAUUAACUUGCAACCCUAAAAAUCAUACAAAUAAUGGAUCAAUAAAUAUGAACCAUCCACCAUUAACCAUUAACUUGAUACCUGAAACAUUAAACUUGAAACCAAAAGAACUUGAAUCAUAGGGUAAUAAACACGAAACUUAAAAUCAUUAACUUGCAAUUAUGAAAAUCAUGUAAUUAAUUGACCAAUUAACAAUAAACACAUACCAUUAACUAGAUACCGAGACUAUUAAGCCUGAAAUUAAAGGAACUUGAAACGUAGGGCAAUAAAUAUGAAACUUGUGAUUAUUAACUUGUGACCAUGAAAAUCAUGCGAUUGAUGGACCAAUAAACAUGAGACACCCACCAUUUACUUGAUACCUAAACCAUUAAACUUAAAAUUAAAGGAACUUGAAAGUUAGGGUAAUAAACAUGAAACUUGAGAUCAUUAACUUACAACCAUAAAAAUCAUGCAAUUAAUGGACCAAUAAAUAUGAAACACUUACCAUUAACUUAAUAUUGAGACCAUUAAACUUGAAACCAAAAGAAACUUGAAAUUUAGGACAAUGAACAUGAAAUUUGAUAUCAUUAAUUUGCAAUCAUGAAAAUCAUGCAAUUAAUGGACCAACAAACAUGAAGCACCUACCAUUAAUUUGAUACUAAAACCAUUAAACUUGAAACCAAAAGAACUUAAAACUUAGGGCAACGCAAAUGAAACUUGUGAUCAUUAACUUGCAACCAUGAAAAUCAUGCAAUUAAUGGACUAAUAAAUGUGAAACACCAAACAUUUACUUGAUAUAGAGACCGUUAAACUUGAAACCAAAUGAAUUUGAAACUUAAGGUAAUAAACAUGAAACUUAUGAUCAUUAACUUGCAACCAUGAAAAUCAUACAAUUAAUGGACUAAUAAAUAUAAAACACCCAUCAUUAACUUGAUACUUGGAUAAUUAAACUUGAAACCAAAGGAACUCGAAUCAAGGGCAAUAAACACGAAACUUAAGAUUGCAAUACUCUUCUUAUUGGCACACACAUACAGAACACUCACUCCACACUAGAGCUGGCAAAACGGGUCAUCGGGUCGUGUUCGUGUCGUGUCAGCUUCGUGUCGUGUCAAAUUUAGGUCGACCCAAACCCGACCUAUUUAAUAAUCGUGUCAAAAUAUUGAGACCCAAACCCGACACGGAAAAAUAAUCGGGUUACCCAAUAACCCGUUUAAUAUCUAUAUAUUGAAUAAAAGUUACAUCAAAUAUUUACAUACUAUCAUACAUACGUAUGUACAUACAUACAUACAUACAUAAUUUAUCGAUAUUAUAAAAUAUACAUAUAUACCAAUAUAUUACACAUUUACACUAUUGAGGUUUUAAUUAUAUAUAUAUAAUAUUAUAUAUCAAUAUUAUAAAAUAUACAUGUCUAUCAAUUUUUACACAUUUACACUAUUGAAGCUCUAAAUGUAUUUAAAAUUUUAUAAAUAAAACACUGUGUUUAUAUUCACCAUUUUAAAGAAUAAAAAAAAGAAAAUCAUCUCUAAUAUUUGAGUUUUAAUGAUAAAAAUAUGUAAAUUAUUUUAAAAUAGAAAAUAUAAUCGGGUCAUUGAUCGGGUAAAUGGGUCAAGAAUUUUAACCCAAACCCGACACGGAAAAAAAUCGUGUUGACCCGGACCCGACCCAUUUAAUAAUCGUGUUAAAUUUGACAACUCAUACCCAUUUAUUUAUGUCGUGUUCGUGUCGGGUAAUCGGGUCGUGUCAAAUUUUGCCAGCUCUACUCCACACACACAGACCAGAGACGACAGUAGCUGCCAGCUUGCUCCACCUCGACCGACAGCCACCAAACUCGUUCAAACUGCCAGCUUGCCCCACCUCAAUCGACAGCUUGCCAACUUACUUCAUGGUGUAUUUGCGUCUUGUUUCUUGACGAAAUGGGUCGAUUUGCUUGCUUUGUCUUGCUCUAUCUACGAUCUAUUGAUUUAUUGGGUUUUAUUUUAUUCAAAAAAUCAAAAUCUGAUUUUGCUGACAAAAAGUCAGAAAGGGAGAGAAUUUUCAAACUUGGGCAAUGCAGAUCAAGAGAAGUCAAAGAAAAAGAUCUGUGAUUAAUGGAAAUGGGGCUACUCCAAUUUCGAUUUCAAUAUCAAUAUCAAUUGUCCCCUGUGAAGAUAUGAUUUAUUAUCAUUACUCUUCUUACUAUUUUGAAUAUAAACUGAUUUGUUCUUAAAAAAAUAAAAAAUCAUCUGACUCGAAUGCUAUUUCAACCCGAACCUAUUUGAAUUCAAUUCGAACUUAUAAUCCGAUUCGAAUGAUUUUUUUCUUUUUUGAGAACAGAUCAGUUGAUAUUCAAAAUAAUAAAAGUAACGAUAAGAAAUCAUAUCUUAACAAGAGAAUCUGGAUUGAAUUUGGAUGAUUAUUCUUCCAAGCCAACUAAUCCGAAAUCUGAUUGGGUUUAUCCGAACCCGAUCCGAAUCCGAAUUUGCUCACCCUUAAUUAGUCAAAGAAUUGCUCUGUCUUUUUUAUUAUUAUUUGCAUGUAUCACGUACAUGCAGGUAUUGUAGUUGUGACCCUCUAGCAUAUGCUAAAAUUUUAGUAGGCUAUCUCAAAAUUUCAACAUGCUGAAAUGAUGGGGACAAUUCCACACAAAUUGGAUUUAGUAAUUAAUUAUAGAUGUGGCAUUUGUUUACCAAUUUAAGAUAUACUUCCGUCAUGCAUGCAUUAUCAAUGCUUUUUAAUUUGCCUCAUCAAUGACGAUCAUGGAUAAAUUAAUCAACGUACAUUUGCCUUUUGAGCAUGUAUUGGAAAAUAAAUGUUGAACAAUGUAACCUGAAUAGUGCCAAAUUAAUGCGGAGACACUUCCAUAAGUAACUUGGCCAUAUGCAAACUAACCCGUUUCUCAAGCAUAAUAUCAUUAUCAUUGCCAAUUUACUUGACCAAUAUACAAUAGCUGACCGUUAAUCCUCGCAUGAGUUUGGUUGACUUCUUUUUUCAUGCAAUAUGAACGCAAAGCAAAGUCAUGGUCAAAACAUGAGCAUGCCUCCAAUUUGUCAAAGCUAAAUUGCUGGCUUUAUUGGUUUGUUUUUCGGUGUUGUUUUUCAAAGAAAUAAUGAUAUUUUUCAGGCUUAGAAAGGCUAUAAAUUGAAAGAUUAUUUGAUGAGGUAGAUGCAAUGAGAUUGACAUUGCCAAAAGAUAUUGAGUUGAUUCACUGUUUUUUUUUUUUAAUUCAGUUUGUGUUUUUGAGAGUUAUAUUUGAUUGAUUGUGUUUAUCGACAUUCAUUAAUUAAAGAGUUAAAAAUAGGUCUUGGGAUGGAUUGAUUAGAUCAGAUUGACAGAUCUUAAUCAUAAUAAGAAGUGCUACGAUGGUUUUCUCAAUUUCAUAUACUCAUAGAUAUAGGUUUUAAUCUAAUAUGACAUAAUAUGAUUGAAUACAUAAAAAAAUAAAAAUAAAUUAUGUGCGUCGGAAAUAUAUAGAGAUGGGUCUCUAAGCCCAUGUAGUUUCUUACGAUCUGGAAGAUUUGAUAUGACCACUGGAACCUCCUUGAACUUGUUAGCCCAUGCAUGCAAUCAGUGAUGGGUUCCCACACUUU